CAAGUCGAGUGCGCGCCUGUAGCAAUACAGGUGGCGCACGGCGCACGGGUGCGUAACACGUGGGUAAUCUGCCCUUCGAUGGGGAAUAACCUCGCGAAAGCGAGGCUAAUUCCGCAUAACAUUCCGAGAACUUCGGUUUUUGGAUUCAAAGGCGUAAGUCGUCGGAGGAGGAGCCCGCGCACGAUUAGCUAGUUGGUAGGGUAAUGGCCUACCAAGGCUAUGAUCGUUAGCUGGUCUGAGAGGAUGGCCAGCCACACUGGAACUGAGACACGGUCCAGACUCCUACGGGAGGCAGCAGUGGGGAAUCUUGCACAAUGGGCGAAAGCCUGAUGCAGCGACGCCGCGUGGGGGAUGAAGCUUCUCGGAGUGUAAACCCCUUUCGACCCGGACGAAUGCCCCGCAAGGGGACUGACGGUACGGGUAUAAGAAGCCCCGGCUAACUACGUGCCAGCAGCCGCGGUAAGACGUAGGGGGCCAGCGUUGCUCGGAAUUACUGGGUGUAAAGGGUUCGUAGGCGGUGUAGCAAGUUGGGAGUGAAAUCUCUGGGCUCAACCCAGAGGCUGCUUCCAAAACUGCUGUGCUUGAGUGUGGGAGAGGCGCGUGGAAUUGCAGGUGUAGCGGUGAAAUGCGUAGAUAUCUGCAGGAACACCCGUGGCGAAAGCGGCGCGCUGGACCACUACUGACGCUGAGGAACGAAAGCUAGGGGAGCAAACAGGAUUAGAUACCCUGGUAGUCCUAGCCCUAAACGAUCAGGACUUGGGGUGCCACCCGUUCGGGUGUCGUCCCGGAGCUAACGCGUUAAGUCCUGCACCUGGGGAGUACGGUCGCAAGACUGAAACUCAAAGGAAUUGACGGGGGCCCGCACAAGCGGUGGAACAUGUGGUUCAAUUCGACGCUACGCGAGGAACCUUACCUGGGCUC
rnacentral:rRNA from 1 species